UGGGGAAUAUUGGACAAUGGGCGCAAGCCUGAUCCAGCCAUGCCGCGUGAGUGAUGAAGGCCCUAGGGUUGUAAAGCUCUUUCACCGGUGAAGAUAAUGACGGUAACCGGAGAAGAAGCCCCGGCUAACUUCGUGCCAGCAGCCGCGGUAAUACGAAGGGGGCUAGCGUUGUUCGGAUUUACUGGGCGUAAAGCGCACGUAGGCGGACUAUUAAGUCAGGGGUGAAAUCCCGGGGCUCAGCCCCGGAACUGCCUUUGAUACUGGUAGUCUUGAGUUCGAGAGAGGUGAGUGGAAUUCCGAGUGUAGAGGUGAAAUUCGUAGAUAUUCGGAGGAACACCAGUGGCGAAGGCGGCUCACUGGCUCGAUACUGACGCUGAGGUGCGAAAGCGUGGGGAGCAAACAGG
rnacentral:rRNA from 1 species